GUGUGUGUUCAUUCUUGUCCUGAGGCUGUGGGAGCUGCCUGCAGAUUUCCAAAGCGAGCCAGGAUGUGCUGAGGGUAGGCACUGUGCAGAGCUGUAAUGAAUAUACUCUCAAGAAGGGUUUAGUUCAAAGGGUACAAUGCCUCUGGCUGAAGAAGUCUGAUCUAAUGAUGCGCCUUUAGGACAAGUGCCUGCUGUUUGAGGAGCAAAGGAAGCUUUUAAGCAGAAACCAUAUUGUAUUCUACUUAAAGCAAGAAGCUGGUAAGGAGUGAGGGAUGUUAUUCCAAGAUGCAGACCAAGGACUGGUUUGAGUUGCUCAGUAUGGCACCAUGGGAACCAUCCACAGAUCUCCUCCCUGAGCAAGGAGGAAUUGGUCUGAAGGGCUUUCCACCCAAGCUGUCAGGAGCAGACUGUAAUUUGGGGGCUCUUCCUGGUAGAAAAGGGCUGGAAGAAACCUCUUCGGCACGUUUCUCUGUUCCUCGUGUCAUUUCAGCUCUCUUACUGAGGGACUGAAGUGAUAUCUGCUGUGUCACCCAUGGUUUUGGCAAGCAGAGGUCCCACAUAAUUGGACCGUGUGGGUGUUUGUUGCCAGAAAGCCCAGACUGCAGCGGGAUGCAUGCUGCUGUCUGCAACCUCUGCUGCUGUAAAAUUACAUUCUGCUCCAAGCUCUUUGCCCGCUUGUGCUCUCUGCAGCGUUAUCAUCUGUCUGUAAUUGCUUAUUGAAUGCAAAUUUCAUGCAGCUGACCGCUGCCAUAUAAAUUAUUCCAUGGAUUUCUCCCUCC
rnacentral:lncRNA from 7 species